GACGAACGCUGGCGGCGUGCUUAACACAUGCGAGUCGAACGGAAAGGCCCUGCUUUUGUGGGGUGCUCGAGUGGCGAACGGGUGAGUAACACGUGAGUAACCUGCCCUUGACUUUGGGAUAACUUCAGGAAACUGGGGCUAAUACCGGAUAGGAGCUCCUGCUGCAUGGUGGGGGUUGGAAAGUUUCGGCGGUUGGGGAUGGACUCGCGGCUUAUGAGCUUGUUGGUGGGGUAGUGGCUUACCAAGGCCUUGACGGGUAGCCGGCCUGAGAGGGUGACCGGCCACAUUGGGACUGAGAUACGGCGCAGACUCGUACGGGAGGCAGCAGUGGGGAAUAUUGCACAAUGGGCGGAAGCCUGAUGCAGCAACGCCGCGUGCGGGAUGACGGCCUUCGGGUUGUAAACCGCUUUCGCCUGUGACGAAGCGUGAGUGACGGUAAUGGGUAAAGAAGCACCGGCUAACUACGUG
rnacentral:rRNA from 1 species